ensembl:lncRNA
UUUUUUGCAGGGGAAAGAUUCUCUUAAUACUGGAGGAUUAAAAGAAUUCAGUGAAUUUUGCCACUGAGCUUUUCCUUUGACAGAGACCCUGCCCAUCAGACUGGUGCAGUACACACAAGCGCAGCCACGACUUUGGCACACACAAGUAGAGCUUACAUGCACUGAGUUUUGCCUGCUUGGACUCUGAGGAAGCACCAGAGAUCAUUUCUCCUGCAGUAUGCAUCAUUCCACAGCAGACGCUGUGCUGGAGACAGCAGUCCUAGUGUGAGAUAUACAGCAGCUCUACCAGAAUAUCAGGAGUGCCAACAGCAGCAAAGCCAAGGAACGUGUACAGCUGAUGCUGCCAUCCCAGGGCAGCUUUCCUUACCACAAGCUACCACUGAGAGACAAGAACAGGAGGAGUUUCCCAUAUCCUUCUGCCUCUUGAAUAUUCACUUGGAUUUCCUUCAGCCCAUUUUCAGGAAACAAAACCUUACUUUUUCCUGCAACUCGGUGAUUUUUCCCAAAGCUAUCAGUACCCUUACAGCCUUACCCACACCCAGUUCUACCGAUGCCACCCUCACACCUGAGAAACCUGCGCCCUCCGAACCACGUGGCAGCAAAACCAACCCAGCUGCAGCUCCCUUUGGAUCCAGAUCUGCUCCCAUAGAGCGUUACACCACGCAGAGAGAGGUGUGGAAAGCCUUCGGGCACCCAGCUAAAGCCCAGCCCCAGCAGGGAUCACGGAGUGGUUUUACAGGUGCUUGGCCGCAGGGAGCAUUUGAUUUAGAAAGCUCCAGAAGGCAGCGAGGGAGGUCGGUUUGGGGUUACACCACCUGCAAAGACACGGGGAGGUGCGCCUGAUGGGAGAGGGAUGCUGAAGGGCUUAGGGUGCAUGUGUGAGGUGCGUGCCAGCAGAUGGCACCGGGAAACCAUAAAUCCAUCUGCAGGGCGCAGGAACGCGGCUGGUGCCGCUGCCUCUGGCUCUGCAACAACCCUUCCCUCAUCCGGACAGCACAGCCUUAGAUGCAACACACGGAUAAGCACAAUGAAUGCAUUAAGUCGCGCACGGCGUUUUCUGCUGCAGCGUGGAAACGUUUCGGCUCCGUUUAUCAAUAUCCCAGCCCUGCGGUGGGAAGGAUGCUCAUGGCUUCCUACAGACAGGGCAGAAGGGAAGUGGGGAUUGGAGGGGAUGUCUGUUGAUACAUGGGAAAAGUAGCAUUUGCUCUUGCCGUACAGCUCCUCAGUAAGCUCAGCACUCUGCUGCAGAACGCAUGAUAUGAGUUCUGACCACAGCACAACUGCAUGGAUGCGGAGGAACUGAGGUUUGUAAAUCCUGUGGUUGAGCUUUCGUCCAAAUCCCUUUACAUGCACUGUAUUUAGACACUCCUUUGUGACAUUCCUCUCCAAUUUACCUGAAUUUCAGCUCACGGUUCCACGAGCUCAGAAAAAAAACACCACCAGUUCCUCACAAAAGCUGGGAGGGAACCACUUUGCUAACUAUGAACAAUAUUUUGCUCCCAGCUGCUGUCCCACAGCAUAGUCCGACCAGCAAAGUCCCAAAAAGCUGCUCCCAGCAGCUGCUUCAGGCUGGGGUAUGGGAAAAUACUGCCUUGGUGACAGCAAAGGGCAACACAGAACAGCUGCAAUUGCAGGGCCAAACCUCAUCCAAGCAAAGCUGUAUUCACAAUAUCACUGGAUUUCUCAGGAUUGUACUAAUUCCACUGUUCCACAGUUUUUCACCUCCAAGUGUUAUGAAAUCUUUCCUUCACAUUGCUAUUUUCCUUCCAUAGAUUACUCUGAGAGCUUCCAGCUUUAAAGGACAGCAAUAUUUACAUUUGCUGCUGCAUACCUCCUUCCAGAGCCAUGUCUUGGGGCUUUUAGGAGCACGCCUGAGCAAACAGCACUCUUUUAUAUAGACUUCAAGAAGAGGUAACUCAAGUAAACACUGUGACUUAAAGCCUUGAAAGCUAAUAUUUAGCAAGCUCUUGUGUUCACAGCUUUGGAAAUGUUUGCCUCUGGAAAUAAAGCAAGAAUAUCUUCUCCU